AGUGAAAGGUGUUAUCCAAAACAAGUUUUCCUUUUUGUUUUAUUCUAUCAUUUCAUGAUACAAUGAAUGCCAUUUUCUUGGUACAUAUCGCUUUUAGAUUGAUUAACGGGUUACUGCGUCCAGCGGCAGAUAUUUCAAGCAUUUUCAUAACGAAAAUAGAAAGCAAUACAUCUAGAAAGUUGGCUCUGCAAAGUAGUUUAAACGGAAUGAAGGAUGAAGAUUGUUAACUGUCAGAAAUAAUUUCGGCCCUCAAAGAUUUGUUCCAAGGAUUUUUGCGCACACGAAAAAUCAUCAUACAUUAUUGUCGCGAACAUGCAGUCGUGUCUGUGUAUUCAAACACCCAUCCAUGUGAGGAAGGUCCUUUAAACUAGUACGAAUGUAUAUAUCCCUGGUAAUCUUGAGGUUUUCAUUUUUAAACCAUAUACAAUUUUGAAACUGGUUUAAAGUGAAUAAGCAUCUGUAUCUAUCAACGGGGCAUUGGCUGUCAAACUUAUGUUUACCAAUUUGACUCAAAUUCUCAUAUUUGGUCGAUAAUAUAUACUAUAAAAAACGUAAAUCCAAAUUAUAAAAAGUUAU
rnacentral:lncRNA from 1 species